rnacentral:lncRNA from 1 species
CGAGAUCGAAACGAUUGCAAGUCUGACACGAAAGGGAAGCGCCCAUGCUCUCCUUCACCAGACAGCGACAAUAGCGAGGACCACCCACGGAAAACCAUUCACAAGCUAUUUGGUGGUAGACCCGCAGGAAGGCUAGCAUAACUAAGAGGAGUAGGAAUAAGCUGUCACCCAAAAGUCCUUGCAUCUGGCACACGGACAAUGUACAGCAACAUCGCGCUUAGUAUUAAGCGCGCUAGAGCCUC